rnacentral:misc_RNA from 1 species
GCAAUGCAAUGGAAACACUUCUCGUUCAUGAGGAUCUGGUGCAAACUGGAGGUCUUAAUGACCUGAUUCUGGAACUUCAGGAAAAAGGUGUAUCUUUGUUUGGUGGACCUAAAGCAAGCUCAGUUCUUAAUAUUCCUGAAGCAAAUUCCUUCCAUCAUGAAUAUGGUGCACUGGCUUGCACCGUGGAAAUUGUUGAAGAUGUGAAUACUGCAAUAGAGCACAUACAUCGUCAUGGAAGUGCUCACACUGAUAGCAUCAUUACUGAAGACAAAGAAGUUGCUGAACUGUUUUUACGUCAAGUUGACAGUGCUGCU